GACGAACGCUGGCGGCGUGCUUAACACAUGCCAGUCGAACAGUGGCGAACGGGUGAGUAAUGCUUGGGAAUCUGGCUUAUGGAGGGGGAUAACGACGGCAAACUGUCGCUAAUACAGCGUACCAUAGGACGUGCCCAAGUAGGAUUAGGUAGUUGUUGGGGUAAUGGCCUACAAAGCCGACGAUCUCUAGCUGGUCUGAGAGGAUGACCAGCCACACCGGGACUGAGACACGGCCCGGACUCCGACGGGAGGCAGCAGUGGGGAAUAUUGCGCAGUGGGGGCAACCUGACGCAGCCAUGCCGCGUGAAUGAAGAAGGCCUUCGGGUUGUAAAGUUCUUUCGGUGACGAGGCGUUAAUCACAGAAGAAGCACCGGCUAACGCCGUGCCAGCAGCCGCGGGAAUAC
rnacentral:rRNA from 1 species